UGCGAAGAGCUCGGCGGCAGGCAGAGACGCGGGUGGCCAGCGAUGGCCGCGGAGGGGGCCAUCUGUGGCCUGGCCCACGGAGGCCGACGGGAGGCGGCGGCCGAAGAGCCGCUCCCCUUGUCCUGGGCAUGGUGCGUGUCUCGCGCCUGUUUAUCCCGCCGCCGCCUUGGCCGCCGUCACCAAUCUGCAAGAGCACACCUGGAGUUGGACUGGCUGUGUUUCAAGGGCUCAAGAGCCGUGGUUACCAACGACUACAGCAUUGAACCACAUAGUACUAGAUGGGUAGUCAGGAAAGAAAUUAAGUGGAUUCCACAGCAAGUGGCCAUGGCUCUCAGCUUGAGGGGAUCUGAGAUUCCUCACCAAGGAUCGAACCCCAGGUCCCCUGCAUUGAGAGCGUGGUGGCUUAACCACUGGACCACCAGGGAGGUCCCCUGUUAACUUAAAUUGGAUGCUAGCUAAAAAAGCCUGUUUGUGGCCUAUCAACCUACAUUGUACAUCUGCUUUAAUUAUUAAAGAAGAGGACACUGGCCAGAAGUCAAGGAUGUCCAUGUCCAAAAUAAAGGUUAAAGUCCUUCCCGGGAUGCCAGCGCUGGUCCUCCUUUGAUAAUAAGACUCGCUUCACAGGUGCCAAGGUCAUACUGACUUGCCUCAAACGAGCUGGUCUGUUCUGAGACCUUGAAGAAAUGUCUCCCUGAAUUGUUUAACAUUCUUUGUUCUGACAAGAUACAAAACUGUGCUGAAAACCCUGCUUCUUUGGAGCAGUUUCACAGAGUAACCUGGGAAGCAGGCUUCUGGGCUAGCCCUCAGUCUGGCUCAAAUAAAA